ensembl:lncRNA
UGAAAAAGGAGAAAGAAAACCUGUUUUUGCUAGUCUAGGCAAUACAGUGUGCCAGAAGCUAAUGAGACAUGAAUAAGGCCAGAAAUGCACAUCUUUUCACUUCUUUAAACUUUCUGUCUUUCAGCUGCUUCUGACUUUUCCUCAGAUAUCAGCACAACUUUACUGUGCUGACAAAGUCUAUGUGUGUUCAUACGGCUAGAAAACACCAAAAAUCCCUUGUUUCAUCCUUUUUUCCCCUUCCAAUCUAAAUGUAUGGCUCAAGGUGAGAAACUGAAUUGUCUAUUUUCACAGUACUAAAUGGCAUUAUAAAAAAGGGAAGUGAAACUCUUCAGACAGUAAACUCUAGCAGGGCUUUAUUCUUCUUGUUCUUCUGUUUUUCAGUAUUACUCUCAAUAAUAUUUUCUACAAGGGACAGUGAAACUUUAAGAAUUUGAUCCAGCACUGAGAUUAUUCCAACAUUAAGACAGCAUUUUUAUAGGCUAUUUGAGCCAUUCCCAAUGCAGGCUUCUCAGCUCUGCCCACUGCCAGACACAUUCUCUUUUCUAGGCAAUAGAUCAUGGAUUUAUCCCACCAAACAAGAAAAUUUGACUUAGAGAAGUCACAGCCUUGCUCACUGUAGAAAUAUGCAAAUACAAUACCAGUUGUGAGAUCAAUAUUCAUUAAAAAGAUUGUUUCAAAAUAAAGAAAAAUAUCCACCUAAAUUAGCUCAAAUUCCACCCUUAUAGAGAAGUCCAAUAACAUGUUCAUUUUAAAAUAGCCUACAUAAAUGAGAGACUUACAAAGGAAAACUGAUUCAAAGCCUUACUCACUUUUUUCCACUGAAAAUCUUCAAGAAGCUCUGCAUUUACUGUUUGAAGAGUAAGUCCAUUAAACAACCUCAAAUGCUUGGGUGCACAUACUUAUACAAAACUCUGAUAUGUUCAUCCAUUUUAUUACUUUUGACUUAUAUAGAAAAUCGAAGAGACUCCAAAGUAAUAAUAAAGAUGAAUUCCUUUCUCACCACUCGAAAGAAAUCCAAAGAGUAAUUCUAAAUUCUCCUUUGAACACACCUCGAACAAGGCCUGUAAUUUCUCCUGUUGCUCCGGAAGGAUAAAAUACAAUAUUUUACAACAUAAUACAAUUCAUUACAAAAUUAAUUAUACAUAUAUAUGUAAUCACUACUCUGAGAAAACAUGCUAUGAGAUUAUAGAAACUGAUCUGGCAGGUGAUCUUCAUGUAAGAGGUAAAGAAAAACAGCAUUUACUUAACUGAUAACUAAAGCUAACAGAAUAAGAAAAUCUGACUCAAUAUUGCUCACAACCAACAAGACAGGAAUAAUGGAUUGCUUAGACCCUUCGUUCUACCACUGAUGCCUCUUUGGAUCCUUAUGAGCAUCAUGUAAGAAUUUCACUGGUCAUCACUGAGAAGCUGCACAAGGUUUGAUGCUGACCCCUGUAUAACUCUGGUGCAAUUCACCACCAAUUAAUUUAGUAUCAUAUAAUCAUGUAAUCAUAGAAUCAUAGAAUGGCCUGGGUUGAAAAUGACCACAAUGAUCAUCGAGUUUUAACCCCCCUGCUAUGUGCAGCAUCACCAACCAGCAGACCAGGCUGCCCAGAGCCACAUCCAGCCUGGCCUUGAAUGCCUGCAGGGAUGGGGCAUCCACAACCUCCUUGAGCAACCUGUUCCAAUGUGUCACCACCCUCUGAGUAUCCAUUAUGAGAAUCCAACUGUUCAUAAACUACAUAGGUCGCUCUAGAAGUAAUGCAUAUAUUUCCAUGGAAGGUACAAUGCAUACAAAGAACAAAAUAACACUAUUGAAUAGAGUGAAUUCUCAGCUACAAAAAACAAUCAUCACCAUUAGCAGAAUGUGUGGAUGAGCUGAUUGAGACUGUCUUCAGUUCAUGGUCUGACAGCUGUGCAUGGCUGUCUAGAACAUGGUUUGUAUUUCAUGUCAUUAUCACCACUGCAGAAAUACAAAACCCACCCCUUGUUGUGCUCAAACCCACUGUUUGGUCUCCAUAAACAUUCGGUAAGCAUCAAUGAAUGUCAGUAGGUGCUGCUUUUUCUUCAAGGAAGAAUUCAAUUACACACCUUUGCUCCAUACCCAUUUCCAUGUCAGAUGCCGUACUUUCAGACUGUCUUUCUGCUGUUGUCUGUCACACAGAACAAAAUGUAGCAGGACAUUGGUGGGAAGACUCAGUAUCUACUGUCAUCCCACCGACAUCUGCCUCUGACGUCGUGGCCCAAGACAAUAAAAUAGAAGGCAUUACUUUUGGAGCAUCCUUUGCAGUAGAAAUGCAGGAUGUGCAGCCCACUCCCCUUCCCUGGCAAAGGGUAGAAGAUUUUUCUGCACUUUGGCCAUUCUUACUCUCAUCCAUCACAGCUACUGUCAGCAGGAUGCAACAUUUUCUUUAGAAUGGAAUUAAAAUCUGAAUUUUCAUGAUGAUCCCUUGAGCGAUGAGGUAAACUCAGACCAGAAGUGUCGCUUAUCCUAUUGGUAACCAGAGCUGCAGUUUGCAGUUUACUAUAACUGCAAAUGGUGGGUAUUAAGGAGGAUUAAAAUAAAUACUCGGAGUGUUCAGAGCCCCCUCAGCAUCAUGACCUGAUGAACGCUGUUUCUCUGUAGUUGAUUAAACACAGAUUGAACUGCUAGCUGUUCCGUGCUUCCAUUGGCUCACUCUUCUUCAGAUGCACUAAUCUUGGAAAAAGCUGCCCACACCCUAAACUUUAUACCCCACAAUUUUGGCUUUGAUUUCACUGGAAUUAGCACACGAGGGAAGGUACAAGUUAUAUUCUUUCCAUGGUCUCAUGAGUGAUAUUAUUAUUUCAAGGCCAGGCUGGAUAUGGCUCUGGGCAGCCUGGUCUGCUGGUUGGCAACCCUGCACAUAGCAGAGGGUUGGAACGAGAUGAGCAUUGUGGUCCUUUUCAACCCAGGCCAUUCUAUAAUUCUAUGAUUUUAUGAUAAGGAUCAGGCUUGAGUCCUCAUGAUCUUUGUCAGAUGAUGGAGCCUCAUCCUCACAUGACUGUCAGCAGCUCAUUUCUCUGUGCCUUACUCAACAACCCCCAGAUCCACUGCAAAUUCAGUAGGAAUGACCAAACCCAUAAGCAAAACCAAUUUAUCACUCCAACUUGCUCCUUCAUGAAAACGCCAACCAACCAGCCAACCUCGGAGCAGUCCCGGCCAACCCAAACGAUGCCAUGCAACUGCCGAAGCGGCGACAGCUCUUCGCAUUGUCUGCAAAGCGUGGCGGGGGUCUCUGCUGGAGCGGAGCGAUGGGAGUUUUCGUUGUAGCAACAUUGCCACCUAGUGCUGCCGUGAUGCAGUUCCGACACCGGGAAAUCCGACUCUUGAACAACCGAAGCAGCAGAACAGGUUGGUGUGACUUCCUCAUUCCGUAUUUUAGCCACGCUGCCACCUCUCUUCCCUCGGUAUUCUCACUUUUAGUGAGAAAGAGGGAAUAUGCCUCUCCUGAAAUAACGGGAAUAACUCAAAGCUCGCCGGCUGGCUUUCACAACGGGCCUUUUGCAGUCUCCGCCUGUGCAAAGAACAGAUGAACAAAGA